GGUGACAGAGUGAGACUCCGUCUCAAAAAGAAAAGAAAAGUGAGGCUCAGAGAAGCGAAGUGACUUGUAGCAGAUAUGCGGCCUCAGCCCUCCCUCCAGCCGCCUCCACACAGGCAGGGCCAGGGCCUCUCUUACCUGCUUUCCCCUCUUCUCGGUCCAGCAAGUGCUCUCAGAAGAGGAGAUUGAUGAGAACUUCAAGGCCCUCUUCAGGCAGCUGGCAGGGGAGGACAUGGAGAUCAGCGUGAAGGAGCUGCGGACAAUCCUCAACAGGAUCAUCAGCAAAC